UAUUUGUCUUUCGGGACAGAGAGAGCGGCGUACGGGUGCGUAACACGUGUGCAACCUACCUUUAUCAGGAGGAUAGCCUUUCGAAAGGAAGAUUAAUACUCCAUAAUAUAUUAGAUGGCAUCAUUUAAUAUUGAAAACUCCGGUGGAUAGAGAUGGGCACGCGCAAGAUUAGAUAGUUGGUGAGGUAACGGCUCACCAAGUCAUUGAUCUUUAGGGGUCCUGAGAGGGAGAUCCCCCACACUGGUACUGAGACACGGACCAGACUCCUACGGGAGGCAGCAGUGAGGAAUAUUGGACAAUGGGUGAGAGCCUGAUCCAGCCAUCCCGCGUGAAGGAUGACGGUCCUACGGAUUGUAAACUUCUUUUGUAUAGGGAUAAACCCAGAUACGUGUAUCUGGCUGAAGGUACUAUACGAAUAAGCACCGGCUAACUCCGUGCCAGCAGCCGCGGUAAUACGGAGGGUGCAAGCGUUAUCCGGAUUUAUUGGGUUUAAAGGGUCCGCAGGCGGGCCGAUAAGUCAGUGGUGAAAUCUCAUAGCUUAACUAUGAAACUGCCAUUGAUACUGUCGGUCUUGAGUAAAUUAGAGGUAGCUGGAAUAAGUAGUGUAGCGGUGAAAUGCAUAGAUAUUACUUAGAACACCAAUUGCGAAGGCAGGUUACCAUGAUUUAACUGA
rnacentral:rRNA from 2 species